UGUGAGAUCUUUUGAUUGUGCUCUUGGCAUAUUCCUCUUUUAGCUUUGAGCCAAGUUUUUUUUAAAAAGAGGUACUGUAUGCAUUUCUUGAAGUUUGACAACAUUAUAGCAAAAAAAAAAAUCAUUGUGACAAGCCUAAUAUUACAGGGCAAAAUUUAUUAUGGUAACAGUUACACAGUACUUUGGUUUCAUCACUUGGAAAUUUGUUUCAUCUCUGACACUAUGCAACUUUAGAGGUUUGGUAUUUAGUUUGUAAAGUGAAAUAAAAUGUUUUCAUUCCUCCAUUGAUCCAUAGGUCUUGUCAGGUUUUUUUUUUUUUCCUUGCAUAGUAGACAACAUUCAUUACAUGUGCAACGGCACCCUUGCAUUCCUUCAUUAGGAGAUCCAAACCACACUGAAAGUCUUAUGAAGUUAUGGCGAUAGACAGUUGCGUAUUCUCUCUUAUCUAAUAAUUUGCAACCAGAAGUCAGACAGUCCAUUAUUUGCUUCCUCGUGAUCAAGGAGCUGAUCCUCUGUAAAGAAGAUGAUCAAAGUGUUACUUAAUUGACAAGUGAAGAAAUCAGAGUCAUGCAGGAAAAGCUGUCCCUUAAUCAUAUCAAUGCAUGUAGCAGGUUGCUUCUGAGAAAAGGAACAUCCCAUUCAGAAGCAAAGCAAAAUCCAAGUCACUUUAAUAGGCCUAGAUGCUAACA
rnacentral:lncRNA from 1 species